rnacentral:lncRNA from 1 species
AAUUUCCUUGUUGCACAUCGUAGCUGCACACUUAAUGCAUUGUUUAUAUCCAACGAGACGAGUUUUUUUUACUUUGAUGAUUAUUUACACAAGGGAACGUUGACAACCAUAAAGACUACUUCAUCAAAACAAUACAUGUUAAUAGAUGAAAUGAUUGCAUUACAAGGGCGAGAAAAGAAAAAAAAGUUUGAUUGAUGAACGGAG